rnacentral:tRNA from 1 species
UCCCAGGUGACUCAGUGAUAAAGAAUCUGCCUGCCAAGCAGGAGACGCAGGUUCGAUCCCUGGGCUAGGAA